rnacentral:lncRNA from 1 species
UUUCUUUUUUAUUUUUUCCUCUUAUUAUUCUUCUUCUUCUUAUUAUUAUUAUUAUUUUGUUUUUUUCUUUUUUCCUCUUAUUCUUCUUCUCCUUCUUCUUCUUUUCUUCUCUUGUUCUUCUUCUUCUUCUUCUUCUUCUUAUUCUUAUUUUCUUUUUUCUUUUUUCCUCUUAUUCUUCUUCUCCUUCUUCUUCUUUUCUUCUUCUCUUCUUCUUCUUCUUCUUAUUAUUAUUAUUAUUAUUCUUAUU